rnacentral:rRNA from 1 species
AACGAACGCUGGCGGCAUGCCUAACACAUGCAAGUCGAACGAGACCUUCGGAACUAGUGGCGCACGGGUGCGUAACGCGGGGGAAGCUUCCCUUAGGUUCGGAAUAACUCCCCGACGGGGGUGCUAAUACCGGAUAAUUUCUGCUAACCCAUGAUUUAUCGUCUGUGGGUGGGCCUGAGUUCUUUUAGCUUGUUGGGAGGGUAAAAGCCUACCAAGGCGGCGAUCCAUAGCUGGUCUGAGAGGAUGAUCAGCAACACUGGGACUGGGACCCGGCCCAGACACCGGCGGGAGGGAGCAGUGGUGAAUCAUGGACACUGGGCGAAAGCCUGAGCCAGCAAUGCCGCGUGAGUGAUGAAGGCCGUAGGGUUGUAAAGCGCUUUUACCCGCGAUGAUAAUGACAGAACCGGGAGAAUAGGCCCCGGUAACCUCCGU